rnacentral:rRNA from 1 species
UACGAAGGGGGCUAGCGUUGCUCGGAAUCACUGGGCGUAAAGGGUGCGUAGGCGGGUCUUUAAGUCAGGGGUGAAAUCCUGGAGCUCAACUCCAGAACUGCCUUUGAUACUGAGGAUCUUGAGUUCGGGAGAGGUGAGUGGAAUUCCCAGUGUAGCGGUGAAAUGCGUAGAUAUUGGGAGGAACACCAGUGGCGAAGGCGGCUCACUGGACCGGUUCUGACGCUGAGGCGCGAAAGCGUGGGGAGCAAACGGG